rnacentral:rRNA from 1 species
AAUGGGCGAAAGCCUGACAGAGCAAUACCGCGUGGGGGAUGAAGACUUACUGAGUUGUAAACCUCGGUGCCCUAAAGGAAGAAGAUCUGACGGUACUUAGGGUGGAAAGCAUCGGCUAACUCCGUGCCAGCAGCCGCGGUAAGACGGGGGAUGCAAGUGUUAUCCGGAAUUACUGGGCGUAAAGCGUCUGCAGGUGGUUUUCUAAGUCUGCUGUUAAACCUUGAGGCUUAACCUCAAAUCGGCAGUGGAAACUGGGAGACUUGAGUAUAGUAGGGGUAGAGGGAAUUUCCAGUGGAGCGGUGAAAUGCGUAGAUAUUGGAAAGAACACCGAUGGCGAAGGCACUCUACUAGGCUAUUACUGACACUCAGAGACGAAAGCUAGGGGAGCAAAUGGGAUUAGAUACCCCAGUAGUCCUAGCCGUAAACGAUGGAUACUCGAUGUUGGACGUAUCGACCCGUUCAGUGUCUUAGCUAACGCGUUAAGUAUCCCGCCUGGGGAGUACGCUCGCAAGAGUG